CGAGCGCAACCCUUGCCUUUAGUUGCCAGCAGUUCGGCUGGGCGACUCUAAAGGGACUGCCGGUGUUAAACCGGAGGAAGGUGGGGAUGACGUCAAGUCCUCAUGGCCUUUAUGACCAGGGCUACACACGUACUACAAUGGCCGAUACAAAGGGCAGCGACACUGCGAGGUGAAGCCAAUCCCGUAAAAUCGGUCUCAGUCCGGAUUGGAGUCUGCAACUCGACUCCAUGAAGUUGGAAUCGCUAGUAAUCGUGGAUCAGCAUGCCACGGUGAAUACGUUCCCGGGCCUU
rnacentral:rRNA from 1 species